rnacentral:lncRNA from 1 species
GUUUUCAUGGGCACAAUGAGCAUUUGCUUUCAAAGCUAUUAAAGAUCACUAAAGACCUAAUAAAAGGAUUGCAGGUCCUGUCAUUAAUCCUUUACUGUGGUAAGAAAUAAAGAUACAAAGGUAAGUGCAUCUCAAUAUUCAGGGCUUUCAGCUGUUUAAUCACAAUGUAAAUAAAUAAGUGUUUAAAUAUGUGUUUUCUGGUGUCUAUAAAUAUAAACAAGCUGACUGCUGCUCAGUUUGGGGUUUGUCACUUUAACGAGAAUCAUAAAAUGGUUUGAGUUGGAAGGACCUUAAAGAUCAUCCAGUUCCAGCCCCCCUCCCUGGGCAGGGACAAUUAAAAAGUCCACUACUGUGUGCUCAUAAUAAAACCAGUAAUCUACUGUUACAAGAGAGACAUAUCAUGGCAGAUGGCAGAUGGUCUCUUGUCUGUGUGUUUGAAUGUCACCAUGAAUAUUAUUCUUGUUUGUACACUGCAGUGUUAAGAAAAAAAUCUCAGCUUUUCUCACUAAAACGUGGUCUACAGGACGUUCCAUCAUCAUUAGAGUGUGGGAAAGGGCCGCUGUUGUUGGAGGUAAUGGUGUGAUUUGUUACCAAUCUACUGAAUAGAAUGCAGGAACUACACAGAAAUGUCUGUCCGUGUUUCAAGGCUCUGCUUCUUUAAUAACCUGCUAUGAGGAAAUGUAAAAAAUCCAUUGGGAGUAUAAUCCUAUGGAUUUUGGUGGAAAUGCAGCAGUUUACCCUUGCUGAAGAAAUGUCUCAUUAUCCUUAAGAAGAAGGAAUAAUACAAAGCAGUUCUGCCUAAUUCUGUAAUUUGUCAUGAGGAAGUUUUGUCUAAGAAGUAUAAACCCCCAAAAUACAAUGAACGAACAAUUUUCUUCCUGCUAAUAUAAAUCCAGAUUUCUGUGUGGAUUUUGGGAAUAAUUUUAAAUGCCUUCUUUCCCUCAAAAAACAUGAAAGUGAGAGAUGUCCAAGUACUGCUUCCAAAAAUAGGCCAAAAAUUAAGUCAGGCCAGUACUUUUGUAUAUUUGAAUUUCAGAACUUGAGUCUAGAAGGAGAAAAAAUAUGUCUGAAG